GAUGAACGCUGGCGGCGUGCCUAAUACAUGCAAGUCGAGCGAACAGAUAAGGAGCUUGCUCCUUUGAAGUUAGCGGCGGACGGGUGAGUAACACGUGGGUAACCUACCUUUAAGACUGGGAUAACUUCGGGAAACCGGAGCUAAUACCGGAUAACAUUUAGAACCGCAUGGUUCUAAAGUGAAAGAUGGUUUUGCUAUCACUUAUAGAUGGACCCGCGCCGUAUUAGCUAGUUGGUAAGGUAACGGCUUACCAAGGCGACGAUACGUAGCCGACCUGAGAGGGGGAUCGGCCACACGGGAACGGAGACCCGGCCCAGACCCUUAGGGGGGGCAGAAGUAGGGAAUUUUCCGAAAUGGGCGAAAGCCGGAGGGAGAAACGCGGGGGGGGUGAGAAGGGGUUUGGGCUCGUAAACCUUUUUUAUUAGGGAAAAAAAAAUGGGUAAGUAACGGGGCACAUUUUGACGGUACCAAAUCAGAAAGCCAGGGAUAACUACGU
rnacentral:rRNA from 1 species